GUUCUGAAACACUCGCUGACCAUUUUCUUAUCUCCCGUGAGAGAAUUAAAGAGUAGGUUGACAGAAAACCAGCUAGCCUCACCAAAACAGUCCACAAAUUCGCCAUAUUAAUUUUAGUGACUAUGAAAGUACUGGUGACUGGCGCUUCAGGUUACUUAGGUGGGAGACUCUGCCACGCACUGCUGGAACAAGGCCACUCUGUCCGCGCCUUGGUUCGUCACACCAGCGAUCUCUCCGUCCUCCCUUCGUCCUCCACCGACGGGAAUUUCGAGCUUGCCUACGGUGAUGUUACCGACUACCGAUCUCUUUUGGAUGCCUUCUCUGGUUGUCUCGUCAUCUUCCACACCGCCGCCCUCGUAGAGCCCUGGCUGCCUGAUCCUUCUAAAUUCUUCUCCGUUAAUGUAGGGGGAUUGAAGAACGUGUUGCAGGCAGCUAGAGAGAAGAAGACAAUCCAGAAGAUUAUUUACACGUCGUCGUUUUUUGCCCUUGGACCGACCGAUGGAUACAUUGCAGAUGAGACCCAAGUACAUCCCGAGAAGGUUUUCUGUUCGGAGUACGAGAGAUCCAAGGUGAUCGCCGAUAAAAUUGCAUUGCAAUCUGCAGCCGAUGGGUUGCCAAUAGUGGUGGUUUACCCCGGUGUCAUAUAUGGUCCAGGCAAGCUUAGUACGGGUAAUAUUGUGGCUCAGUUGGUAAGAUUGGUUGCUUAUUUGUUUGAUUUUGAAGGUUUUUGCCCCUAUUCAUUCUGGAUUUCCUUGUUUGCAUUUUGUCCACAAACAUUGCACCACUUCAAUCACCAUUUACCUUUGAUUCCAUGCCAUAUCAUGCAAUUCAACGGAGUACACCUUUAACAUUUCUUUAGCCUAACACUAUGAGAUUUUGCUGUUGCUAUUAAUAUGUCAUUUUCAAUCAAUUUAAUCAAGCCUUUGUGCUGUUAGUUGAAACCACUUAUUGUCCAUUCAAAUUGGGAUUAUCAUUUAACGGAUUCUGAUCCACAUUACUAAUGAAAAGAAAUGCAAAAUGUAUAUUUGCUUAACAAAUUGAAAUUGUAUACUUUGAUGUCUAGCGUCUCAUAAACUAUCAUUUCAGCUGAUUGAGCGCUUUCAAGGCCGUUUACCUGGAUACAUAGGCAAUGGAAAUGAUAAAUAUUCAUUCAGUCAUGUUGAUGAUGUAGUAGAAGGACAUAUAGCAGCAAUGAACAAAGGUCGACCAGGGGAAAGAUAUCUACUUACAGGAGAAAAUGCAUCAUUCAUGCGCGUUUUCAAUAUAGCUGCCAUCAUUACUGAAACAAAAAAGCCGAGAUUUAACAUUCCUUUAUGGGUGAUUGAGGCUUAUAGCUGGUUAUCGGUUGUUUUCUGUCGACUCACAGGAAAGCUUCCUCUCAUCAGUCCACC
rnacentral:misc_RNA from 1 species